AGGUUCAUAGUUCAGUGGGCAGAGCAUAUGCCUUGCAUGCAGAAGGUCUCAGCUUCGAUUCCUGUGAUCCUU